rnacentral:rRNA from 1 species
GACAGAGGCCUCGAGCGUUAGGCGGAAUCACUGGGCUUAAAGCGUGUGUAGGCGGAUCGUUAAGUACCUUGUGAAAUCCCACGGCUCAACCGUGGAACGGCUGGGUAUACUGGCGGUCUUGGGCCAUUCAGGGGCGACUGGAACAAGCGGUGGAGCGGUGAAAUGCGUAGAUAUCGCUUGGAACGCCGAAGGUGAAAACAGGUAGCUGGGGCUGUGCUGACGUGAGACACGAAAGCCAGGGGAGCGAACGGG